rnacentral:rRNA from 1 species
GACGUAGGGCGCGAGCGUUUGUCCGGAUUUAUUGGGCGUAAAGAGCUCGUAGGCGGCUCGUUGCGUCAACCGUGAAAACCCCGGGGGCUUAACUUCGGGCUUGCGGUUGAUACGGGCGGGCUGGAGUUCGGUAGGGGAGACUGGAAUUCCUGGUGUAGCGGUGAAAUGCGCAGAUAUCAGGAGGAACACCGGGUGGCGAAGGCGGGUCUCUGGGCCGAUACUGACGCUGAGGAGCGAAAGCGUGGGGAGCGAACAGG